AGAGUUUGAUCCUGGCUCAGAAUAAACGCUGGCGGCGUGCCUAACACAUGCAAGUCGAGCGAGAAAGUUCUUCGGAAUGAGUAAAGCGGCAGACGGGUGAGUAACACGUGAGAAUCUACCCUUUAGUGAGGAAUACCCCCGAGAAAUCGGGGCUAAUACCGCAUGAGUCCUUAUAGAAAUAUAAGGAGAAAGAUGGCCUCUUUGCUAUCGCUAGAGGAUGAGCUUGCGUACUAUCAGCUAGUUGGUAGGGUAAAGGCCUACCAAGGCUAUGACGGUUAACCGGCCUGAGAGGGUGUUCGGUCACACUGGAACUUAGACACGGUCCAGACUCCUACGGGAGGCAGCAGUGGGGAAUCUUGCGCAAUGGGCGAAAGCCUGACGCAGCGACGCCGCGUGAAGGAUGAAGGCCUACGGGUUGUAAACUUCUGUUAAGUGGGAAGAAAGACUCGCUUCUAAUACAGGCGAGGGAUGACUGUACCAUUAAAGAAAGCACCGGCUAAACUCGUGCCAGCAGCCGCGGUAAUACGAGUGGUGCAAGCGUUAUUCGGAAUCAUUGGGCGUAAAGGGUGUGUAGGCGAUAAUUCAAGUCUAUUGUUAAAUUCCUCGGCCUAACUGAAGGUAUGCAAUGGAUACUGUAUUGAUAGAGGAUGGAAGAGAGAAGUGGAAUUCUCGGAGUAGCGGUUAAAUGCGUAGAUCUCGAGAGGAACACCGAUGGCGAAAGGAGCUUCUUAGUCCAUACCUGACGCUGAUACACGAAAGCGUGGGGAGCAAACAGGAUUAGAUACCCUGGUAGUCCACGCUGUAAACGAUGAUCACUUGAUGUUGGUCCUGCUUUGCGGGAUCAGUGUCGUAGCUAACGCGUUAAGUGAUCCGCCUGGGAACUACGGUCGCAAGACUAAAACUCAAAGGAAUUGACGGGGGUCCGCACAAGCGGUGGAACAUGUGGUUUAAUUCGACACUACGCGAGAAACCUUACCUGGGCUUGACGUGCACUUGACAGUCGUAGAAAUACGAUCUUUUAGGUUUUUAAUCUAAACGGGUGCACAGGUGCUGCAUGGCUGUCGUCAGCUCGUGUCGUGAGAUGUUUGGUUAAGUCCUCUAACGAGCGCAACUCUUGCCGUCAGUUGCAACCACGUAAGUGGGCACUCUGAUGGGACUGCCUGGGAAACCAGGAGGAAGGUGGGAAUGACGUCAAGUCCUCAUGGCCCUUAUGUCCAGGGCAACACACGUGUUACAAUGGUCAGUACAAAGGGCAGCAAGCUCGCAAGAGUAAGCAAAUCCCAUAAAGCUGGCCUAAGUUCGGAUUGAGGUCUGCAACUCGACCUCAUGAAGCUGAAAUCGCUAGUAAUCGCAUAUCAGAACGAUGCGGUGAAUACGUUCUCGGGCCUUGUACACACCGCCCGUCACACCAUGAGAGCUAUUUGUACCUAAAACCAUCUUUGCCAACCCUUUGGGGGGCGGAUGCCCAAGGUAUGGGUAGUGAUUGUGGUGAAGUCGUAACAAGGUAGCCG
rnacentral:rRNA from 1 species